CCUACGGGUGGCAGCAGUGGGGAAUAUUGCACAAUGGGGGAAACCCUGAUGCAGCGACGCCGCGUGAGUGAAGAAGUAUUUCGGUAUGUAAAGCUCUAUCAGCAGGGAAGAUAAUGACGGUACCUGAGGAAGAAUCCCCGGCUAACUACGUGCCAGCAGCCGCGGUGAUACGUAGGGGGCAAGCGUUAUCCGGAUUUACUGGGUGGAAAGGGAGCGUAGACGGCAUGGCAAGUCUGAAGUGAAAGCCCGGGGCUCAACCGCGGGACUGCUUUGGAAACUGUUAAGCUGGAGUGCAGGAGAGGUAAGUGGAAUUCCGAGUGUAGCGGUGAAAUGCGUAGAUAUUAGGAGGAACACCAGUGGCGAAGGCGGCUUACUGGACUGUAACUGACGUUGAGGCUCGAAAGCGUGGGGAGCAAACAGGAUUAGAUACCCCGGUAGUC
rnacentral:rRNA from 1 species